AAGCACCUCAAUCCAUGCUGCUACUAUAUGUCUGAUAUCGCGUAUAUACAGAUAUGACAUAUUCAUUGACGAUUAGCCUUAAUCGAAAGUUCUCUCUCGUGAUCGGCAGCGUAAUUAACUAUAGGGGCUUGCGCCUAUAAGAAACUAGAACUCAGAUCAUAAAAUCCUCGCAAAAUGAGGACGAAAUUUUUGGGUGUGUCUUACCUACAAUCCCAAUCUGUCUUCCUAAAAUUUUCCCCGGAACUUAAUCCAUUAAAAUUCCCCCCCGAUAGCAAAAAGCGAAAGCGCGGAGGGGAGGAUGGGGCACAAAUUUUCGGAGCCCACGAACUUGUACCCCAAACUAAAAAAAAUCAUAUUCGAUCAAAUAUAUCAAGUAGUUAAAAGACUCUGGUAAAAUAUAAAUGCAAAUUCUGUUAUUAAGAAUAUAUUAAAAUAAUAUUUUUAUCAUUCAGGGUAAUAUAUUAUUUUCUAAGACGUGCUUGAUCAUAAAAUAUUCCCUUCUAUUGAGGAUGAAAAAAUUACACCAACAGAUGUUUUUUUUUAUAUUUCAGUUGUUUUGGAUUAGGAAGGGUGAGUUAAUUUCCAAAUGGUAGAGGUUCUAGAGAAGGGCUAGUCUUUGAUGAAAUUGGAUUGUAUAUUAAAUUGUUUUUAUGUGGAGAUUUGUUGAACAGUGAGGAAGCGAGACUAAAAGUUUUUGGUUUUGGGAUCUAAUUCAUGUUCAUUAGUGUGAAUAUACUUAGUUCGAGUGACAUAAAAGAGGGGAUAAUUGGGUUGAUAGAAAGAAUCGAUUCUAUGAUGAAGAGAUUAUUUCAAGAUCAUAAUUCUAAGGUGAAAUAGUUUUAAUAGUUUCCUAAUUAUAGUUUAGUUGAGGGAAGCAUCCAUUGGAUAUGCUUGAAAUGUGUGGGAAUAUACUUGUUAAAAAACUAACUACAUAUCUAAUAAUUGUUUUCAAAAUUCGAAACAAGGAAUGGUUGCUUCAGUUAGCAAUUUGAAACUACCAUUAUUCUAUUCCUUGGGAAUUUCUGUAUCCCCUUGAAAUGAAAGUAUUCAAGGAAUAAGCAUGAGUGGCUGCAUCCCCCUUCAUUGUUGCCGCUUUUGGUGUAGCAAAGGCCUUGAUGUGCUGGAAAUCAACAAAAAAUAGCCUUUUAGGUGAGCUGUUUGCUGAAUUAGGUCAUCUUGGUUGCGGUUUUUCUAAUCAAUGUUGGCUUCUUUAGUGGAGCUUUAUAGGCCCUGGAUGCAUGUUUUGGUGAUGUGUAGUUUUUUCUGUCUGGAAGUCAGUGUUUGAUUUGUUGAGUUAGCUUUAGCCAACAAGAGCUUUUAAUAUUCCGAUAACUGAAUGGUCAAUGGAAUAUGAUACACCCACAAACCCGAAGUUCUAAAAUUGGGUUAACUUGUAAUAGUUAUUGAAAGUCUAUGCUUGCUGUUCUCUCCUAAAAACCAAAGUCGCAUAGCUAUCUAUUGAUGUGAAAGCCAGCACCCCAAAGUUAGUGCAGUCAAAAGGUCUGUAAUGCUCGGAGCCAUUAUAUUAACUGAAACAUGUGUUCGAAGUUUCUUAAUUGUUAAUGCUUGAAGUUAUUUUAGUUCAAUGCUGGGGAAGAAAAUCUUACUUCGCUUUCUUACUGUUAGUGCAUUCUAUUUGCCAACUUAUCACUUGUCUUGAUGAUUCUCUUCAAGUGUUUUUUUUUCUCCUCUAUAUUAUUUCUGUUCUUUAUGUUGAUUUAUUUUGAGUUUGUUUAUGAAUUUUGCUUCUACAUUUAAUUCUUGCAACAUACGUGCAGGAUCCUUGAAAUGAAUCACAGAAAAAUAGCGUUCUUAUUUGAGUUGCUAGCUGCGGAAUUUAUCACAUGUAGCUAUAUGAAUUGCAAAAAGUUAUGGUAUUGUGUGAUAAAAUAUAAAUAGUAAACUUUCUUCAGAAGAUAAACAAAUCAAAUAUAAAGUUCAUUUGUUUUUGUGUAUAUUAGCAAAUGCACAUUCGUUUUGAUGUCACUAGAUGGCUUAUAGUUAAAAUAGUAUAAUUGGUAAGGCAGGCAUUCAGAUCCAACUUUAGAAGUUGAAGAAUGUCGUUUAAAUAAGUCCCUGGUUAGAAGUUAUUUAAUGUUUUCAUUUAAUACUACUAAGAAGAGAGAAAUUGAAUGGA